AGUGAACGCUGGCGGUAGGCCUAACACAUGCAAGUCGAACGGCAGCACAGGAGAGCUUGCUCUCUGGGUGGCGAGUGGCGGACGGGUGAGGAAUACAUCGGAAUCUACUUUUUCGUGGGGGAUAACGUAGGGAAACUUACGCUAAUACCGCAUACGACCUACGGGUGAAAGCAGGGGAUCUUCGGACCUUGCGCGAUUGAAUGAGCCGAUGUCGGAUUAGCUAGUUGGCGGGGUAAAGGCCCACCAAGGCGACGAUCCGUAGCUGGUCUGAGAGGAUGAUCAGCCACACUGGAACUGAGACACGGUCCAGACUCCGACGGGAGGCAGCAGUGGGGAAUAUUGGACAAUGGGCGCAAGCCUGAUCCAGCCAUACCGCGUGGGUGAAGAAGGCCUUCGGGUUAUAAAGCCCUUUUGUUGGGAAAGAAAUCCAGCUGGUUAAUACCCGGUUGGGAUGACGGUACCCAAAGAAUGAGCACCGGCUAACUUCGUGCCAGCCGCCGCCGUAA
rnacentral:rRNA from 1 species